GCUGCUAUGGCACAGUCGGUAGCGCGUCACAUUGGUAAUGUGGAGGUCACGGGUUCGAUUCCCGUUAGCAGCU
rnacentral:tRNA from 2 species